UACGUAGGGCGCAAGCGUUGUCCGGAAUCAUUGGGCGUAAAGAGCUCGUAGGCGGUCUGUUACGUCUGCUGUGAAAACCUAGGGCUUAACCCUGGGCCUGCAGUGGAUACGGGCAGACUAGAGGUAGGUAGGGGAGAAUGGAAUUCCCGGUGUAGCGGUGAAAUGCGCAGAUAUCGGGAGGAACACCGGUGGCGAAGGCGGUUCUCUGGGCCGUACCUGACACUGAGGAGCGAAAGCGUGGGGAGCGAACAGG
rnacentral:rRNA from 1 species